AGUAUCCUGUAUCCGUGCUGAGAUUUCGUCACACACCAGACCACAAGGGCUGAUGAGACUUCCAAGAUAAGUGAAGCG
rnacentral:pre_miRNA from 1 species